rnacentral:rRNA from 1 species
UGCUAGUCGCACGAGCUCAUACUCGUGGCGGAAAGCUCAGUAACACGUGGCCAAACUACCCUACAGACCAGCAUAACCUCGGGAAACUGAGGCCAAUACUGGAUGGCGCUUCGACGGUGGAACGCCCCGAAGCGCGAAACGUUCAGGCGCUGUAGGAUGUGGCUGCGGCCGAUUAGGUAGACGGUGGGGUAACGGCCCACCGUGCCGAUAAUCGGUACGGGUCGUGAGAGCGAGAGCCCGGAGACGGUAUCUGAGACAAGAUUCCGGGCCCUACGGGGCGCAGCAGGCGCGAAACCUUUACACUGCACGGAAGUGCGAUAGGGGAAUCCCAAGUGCGAGGGCAUACUAGCCCUCGCUUUUGUUGACUGUAAGGAGGUCAACGAAUAAGAGCUGGGCAAGACCGGUGCCAGCCGCCGCGGUAAUACCGGCAGCUCGAGUGAUGUCCAAUUUUAUUGGGCCUAAAGCGUCCGUAGCUGGCCAGCCAAGUUCGUCGGGAAAUCCACCUGCCCAACAGGUGGGCGUCCGGCGAAAACUGUCUGGCUUGGAACCGGAAGGCUCAGAGGGUACGUCUGGGGUAGGAGUGAAAUCCUAUAAUCCCGGGAGGACCACCAGUGGCGAAGGCGCUCGGCUGGAACGCGCCCGACGGUGAGGGGCGAAAGCCGGGGGAGCGAACCGGAUUAAAUACCCGGGUAGUCCCGGCUGUAAACGAUGC